rnacentral:rRNA from 1 species
UGGGGAAUAUUGCACAAUGGGCGCAAGCCUGAUGCAGCCAUGCCGCGUGUAUGAAGAAGGCCUUCGGGUUGUAAAGUACUUUCAGCGGGGAGGAAGGGAGUAAAGUUAAUACCUUUACUCAUUGACGUUACCCGCAGAAGAAGCACCGGCUAACUCCGUGCCAGCAGCCGCGGUAAUACGGAGGGUGCAAGCGUUAAUCGGAAUUACUGGGCGUAAAGCGCACGCAGGCGGGUUGUUAAGUCAGAUGUGAAAGCCCCGGGCUCAACCUGGGAACUGCAGCUGAUACUGGCAAGCUUGAGUCUCGUAGAGGGGGGUAGAAUUCCAGGUGUAGCGGUGAAAUGCGUAGAGAUCUGGAGGAAUACCGGUGGCGCAGGCGGCCCCCUGGACGAAGACUGACGCUCAGGUGCGAAAGCGGGGGGAGCAAACAGG